GCCGGUGUGAUGAAAUUGGUAUACAUGGUUGAUUCAAAAUCAACUGCCUUCGGGCGUGGCGGUUCGAGUCCGCCCACCGGUACCA
rnacentral:tRNA from 2 species